GACGAACGCUGGCGGCGUGCUUAACACAUGCAAGUCGAACGGAAAGGCCCUGCUUUUGUGGGGUGCUCGAGUGGCGAACGGGUGAGUAACACGUGAGUAACCUGCCCUUGACUUUGGGAUAACUUCAGGAAACUGGGGCUAAUACCGGAUAGGAGCUCCUGCUGCAUGGUGGGGGUUGGAAAGUUUCGGCGGUUGGGGAUGGACUCGCGGCUUAUCAGCUUGUUGGUGGGGUAGUGGCUUACCAAGGCUUUGACGGGUAGCCGGCCUGAGAGGGUGACCGGCCACAUUGGGACUGAGAUACGGCCCAGACUCCUACGGGAGGCAGCAGUGGGGAAUAUUGACAAUGGGCGGAAGCCUGAUGCAGCAACGCCGCGUGCGGGAUUACGGCCUUCGGGUUGUAAACCGCUUUCGCCUGUGACGAAGCGUGAGUGACGGUAAUGGGUAAAGAAGCACCGGCUAACUACGUG
rnacentral:rRNA from 1 species